UUUAUUAACUUACCAGUCGAUAAUUACAAACAGAACUUAGGGUGCGUUUGAUAACCCUAUUUGCCUCUUUUCCUGUAUUUUGGGGAUUUAACAGUGUUUGAUAACGUUUUAGGCAAUCGGGCAAAUAUUCGGCAAAUUUUGCCUUACGUGCUCCCAUUUGCCUGAAAAAAGCAGGAAAAUAAUUCCUGACCCCCCGGGAAAAUAUUUCUUUGCCUGACCCCCCGGGAAAUUCCAAAUAAAGUAUAUAAACCAACAAGUUUCCAAACCUAAUCUUUCUCUCGGCCAAAAGUGCAGCGCAAAACACCGAUCGAAAUUCACUCGUCGUCUUCACCCUCGAUCGACCUCCGCAAAACACCGAUUGACCAUCACUCGUCAUCUUCACCAUCGAUCGCUGUCCACCAUCACUCGUCGUCUUCACCAUCGAUCGCUGUCCACCAUCACUCGUCGUCUUCACCAUCGAUCGACCUCCACCUUCUGUCAUCGUCAUCGACGUCGACAUCGACCCGUCGUUUUCAUUCAAUUCGACGGUGAGUUUUCUUGGACAGCAAUGCGAAUUUUGUUUAGAUAAAUCGAUUUUCUUCUUGUUUGGUUUCGGUUUAACAACAAAUGUUAAACAAAUUUUAUUCGUUCAUUUGUAUAAGUUUGGGGUUUUCUCGAAAUUGUGUUCUUCAAUUCCAAUUUUUGAAAACCCUAACCCUAAAAAUUUGGGGGUUUUUCAAAAUUAGGUUAAUUGUGUUUCAAAAUUAGGUUAAUUUGGGGGUUCAUAUCUCUCUUGUUUUUUUCUUUAAUCGAUUUGUUUUUAUAUUCCUUGUUUCUGUUAAUGAAGUUCUUUCAGCGAGAGUUAAUUUUAAGGUUUAGAGCCGAACCUAACUCAACCGAAGUACCCUAGUGUGUGGCAGACCACUGUAUAUGCUCACCAAAGAAAGAGAUGCUUUGCUACUUUGUGUGGUGAUGGUUGUUUCAUCUAGCUUAGCUAUACAUUUGUGUGCACUACGUCUGGGGUUUCACAUAUACUUUAUAAGCUUAUAAGCGUGUCACAAUGUCAUUCUCGUUUAUCGUCAGUUUUAAUUGCUUAAUCACUUUCAUACUGGCGAGAGGGUCAGUCAUAAUUUGAUGCAUUAUCAUCAAUAAUUAGACAUAUAUAUGGAUUCAUGCAUCAGUGACCAAUGCUGAUAUGGUGUUUAGUCAGACAAAAGUGUGUUAUUUGAAGAUACAAAUAGGCAUGAGUAGUAGCUUUCAAGACUGAAUUUCAUAAAGCUGAUAUGGUGGUACAUCCUUAGAGUUCCAACAAGGUGUGUAGAUUUAAUCCAAAAAAUACUAACACUGACAAUUGACAAUUCAAGGCUAUGGAUGUUGGCCAAGUACUCUCUAGUCUUUCUAGGCUACGGAUGUCUGUCAAAGCAUGGCCAUGACAUAGUGUUGAUCAAAGUAUUUAAUGACAUGGUAUAUGUCUAUAUGAUGUUUCAUAUGUAUGUACAGUAUUGGUUUGAGAUAAGAAUAUAUGACUUUCUUUAUCCCAAAUUUGUUUAGCUGUGUUAGCUUUGUAUUCCUCUAGUUUUGUUAAUCAUGUCCUCUUUUUCUUAUAGGUCCCUGGAUUUUCUUCAUUGCGCCGUAAUCUCCUUCAUCUUUCACCCUUGAUCCAAAUAGUUAUUUGUGAUGCUGAACGUACGAACGCCCUAACUGCGUACGUACGUUCCUGAACGGGGGGGGUGGGAAGGGUUGAGGACAUAAGAUUUGGAACCGUAAACUUUUUGAAGGCGCUCUUUUUCUUUUCUUUUCUUUUUUUCCAGGUUAGCGCAUCUUCCUGAAGAGGUGAAAACGACACUAGAAGAUCCAGAUAGCAGGUGAAUGCUCUUGCUUACAUAAUUUAUAUUGCACAAGUAGAUUUGCAAUUGCUACUUCACAGACACGACUAUCUUGCUAGAAAACACCAAAAUUAUUACUUUUGAAUCAGGAAGCUGUAUACUUAUAAAAAAAUUCAAUGCUGCAAAAAGGAGGAUGAUGAAAGGAAUAAAUGGAAAGACUAAAGGUUAUACAGAUGGUUAAUAUGAUGCAUGAACUGGAGGAUUAUGUCUAUUGCAUAUUGUAGUUGUUCAAAACUUCAAAUAUGGUAACAACGUGAAUUAUGGCUUAAUCCAUAGGCUUUCUCCUUUUUAUGAUGAUAAUUGAGCACUAUUGGUUUCAUUUACGGUCCAUAAGUGAUUUGAGGUCAUUAUAAGUCUUAAUAAGAUAACAAGAAUAUAGGCCAAGGACCAGGUUAUGAAGUUUGUUUUGGAUUUACAAUUUUAAUUUAAAAACUAACUUAUAUACACAGUAUUUGGUUUGGUAGCGCAGAAUUUCAAUUUUUCAAUUUUUCAAACACCUUGUGUUGAGAGUUGAAUUGAUAAGAACUACAUUAUGGUGUACUAAACCACCCUGAAAUAAUUUUCGGGUGCAAAUAAACAUAACAAGGUUUGAUUGAAUAACACUUUGGAAUAAGAUUUGGCGAGGGUUACGCUACCAUGUACCUCCGCUCUUAACUAAGGCUACCUUCCCGAGUUAAUCUUCCCACGGCAAAAUGGAAUAGAGACAUCAAAAAGAUAUCCCCUCAUGCCCCAGGCUAUCCUCCAAAAUACAAUACAAAUAUAUAUACUUUGGAGGUUCAAACCUGGUGAGGUCUUCAACAAAACCCGUAUACGGCUGUACGUUUAAGUUAAUCUCCUGUUUCCAUACUUAUACUCGUUUUUCCUUAGGACUUCCAAAGUUCCCACAAUGUGGUUUUCAUCUUUAUUAUAUCAUUAUAAAUGUAUCAUAUAUGUAUAUCAUCCAUCUUCAGCAUGGUUCAUACAGUACAUGUUAAUAAACAAGGGAUGUAUCAUGCAUGCAUGCUGAUUACCUCUGACCAUGCAAGUGUAGUUAAUUAUUGUGUGCGGCUUUGGCGUAAAAUAUAUAUUCCCAACAUUAUACUGUACAUACACAUUACACAGUGUGUAUAUAUAUAUAUAUAUAUAUAUAUAUAUAUAUAUAUAUAUAUGCUCCUUGUUGUAUAUAUGUAGGUUUGUAAAUGUUUGGGAAUAUCACAGAAGAAUUAAUGUAUGCGAAACAACUUUUAGAAGAGUUAAAACUUAAAACUGGUCAAUUUUAACAAGGAGCUGACUGCUGAGGCAUGAAUGAAAUUGAGGCCAGGUGGUUGUAAAUAUAGAUUUACUUAAGUAACCCAUUUGAAUAUAAAAUGAUGACGUUGUGUAUUCUAGUUGGAUAGUCAGUAUGAAAUUCUAUUGCCAUGGUGAGUAUAAUAACAUUACUAUUAGUAUUUACUACUCUCUCAAAAUGAUUAGAACAAUCUAAUUAUUUUUCUUUUCCAAGUUGCAGUCUCGAAGUCUCGCAUCUUCGUUUCGGUCGUCACUCUCUGCUUUAUUUCUUUGUUGUGCACUGAAUUGAACCAGGUAUUUUUUCUAUCUAAUAAAUGUUCAUAUGAACUGAGUGUGUUGCCAUGUUAAGUGUUAAUAGCAUGUUUAGAGUUACAUGUAUUUCUUCUAGAAAGUAUUAUGAUUGCCUCAUAUAUGUAUUGAUCAUGCUUAGGUGUACUUGUUAUAUAUGUUGUUGUAUUGUAUAGUUUAGAACGACAUGUUGUAUUUUAGAAAUGUAAUAGAACUAUACAUAUUGCGCGUGUACAUGUUGCACUGUAUUUAUCCAUGCUGCACUGUAUAAGUCUAGAACUAUAGAUAACAUAAGGUUAGGUUAGUUCAUUACCCAAGCUGGUUAAUAAAAAAUUCACUAUCAAUACAUAUAUUGUUUCAGAUACCAUUAUGGUUAAGUAUGCUUGUUAUAUUGUGCGUCGUGGGAUACGUCCGGGUGUAUACCUAACCUGGUCGGAAGCCAAGGCUCAAGUAGACGGUUUUCCAAACAAUGAUUAUCAGGGCUGUCAAUCUCUUGCCGAAGCCCAUUUUUUGUAUGACCAGUACUUAUCUGGUUUACAUCACUGUAGUAGUUCUUUGUCGAGAAAUGGAUAAUAUUCCUAAACAAGAACGGUCAAUGAAGCAACUCCUUUGGAGUACUGCAACCCGUUUGUACGGGGAAUCAAUUGUCAAGCUAUUAUUGAUAGCCUCUGACAGUGGCAGUAAUGAGGGUCUGUGCACUUACGUGUAAAUCGACCUCUAUUGCUUGAAACCUUGUUAGUAAUAUUAUUUAUUAAUCGAUGUGUACUUUGUGACUUCAGGCAACCCCAGUUUACAUCACUGUAGUAGUUUUUUGUCGAGAAAUGGAUAAUAUUCCUAAACAAGAACGGUCAAUGAAGCAACUCCUUUGGAGUACUGCAACCCGUUUGUACGGGGAAUCAAUUGUCAAGCUAUUAUUGAUAGCCUCUGACAGUGGCAAUAAUGAGGGUCUGUGCACUACGUGUAAAUCGACCUCUAUUGCUUGAAACCUUGUUAGUAAUAUUAUUUAUUAAUCGAUGUGUGUAUGUGAUGGAUCUAAUCCAUUUUGUUUUUCAAGUUGCAGUCUCGAAGUUCCGCAUUUCGGUUUUCGGUCUUCUUAAAAUUCCUGGUAUUCAUUUUUACGUACAUAUUUUAUUUAAUCUUUAAUCAAAAUGAUUAGAACAAUCUAAUUAUUUUUCUUUUCCAAGUUGCAGUCUCGAAGUCUCGCAUCUUCGUUUCGGUCGUCACUCUCUGCUUUAUUUCUUUGUUGUGCACUGAAUUGAACCAGGUAUUUUUUCUAUCUAAUAAAUGUUCAUAUGAACUGAGUGUGUUGCCAUGUUAAGUGUUAAUGGCAUGUUUAGAGUUACAUGUAUUUCUUCUAGAAAGUAUUAUGAUUGCCUCGAUUUUUGUGUUUAUCA
rnacentral:lncRNA from 1 species